rnacentral:lncRNA from 1 species
ACCAUGUUGAGCUCAUUUCCUUUCUUUCGAAUGCAUAAAAUAAGAUACCACAUUCAUACAACAGCCGUGCACAACGAUUGUGGAGAAAAGAGAAUCAUAUAAAUCAUUCAAUAUCUAAAAACGUGUUUCCAAUGUCAAAUAUAUAAAACUAAAGAUUAAAAACUUAUAUUACACGGUUCAUCGUUUUCCUAACACAAAGAAAUCUAGCUUAGCAUGUUAGGAAGAAGAAAACAAAAGAAAUAUUGAGUAGAUAUCACCCAAAUUAUGAAUCUUGAUUGAAUCUUGAUGUUGUGAAAUCGCUCCUCUUGUUCUUUGUAGUCUUCUAUGCCCUCUAAUGUGUUGUAAUGCGUGGUAACCAUUUCUAGAAAAUGUAUUAGCAUAUUACAAUCGUAUGCUAUAUGUGUCAAACAACUUAUUUUUCUUAUUUGUUGAUAAAUGUUGAUUUUUCUCCCAAAUAUCGUAUACUAUGUGUGUCAAACAAUUGAAAACAAAAGAAACGUAGAGUAGGUUCAACUGAUUUUAUGUUUAUCUUCAUGCGAGCCGUUCGCAAUCAUGGAGCUCAUUGUCAAACACCUUUGAAUGUUAUAUAUGUUUCCAUGACAACUCCACUUUUAUCUUUAAAUGUUUUUUCUUGGUUUGAUGGUAAAUGUUGAGAAAGUAGUGGGUAAAUUGGUAAUUCUUGGUUGUUUGGAUGAGCUGUAGUUUGACCAACUUAAA